rnacentral:rRNA from 1 species
UACGUAGGGACCGAGCGUUGUCCGGAUUCAUUGGGCGUAAAGGGCUCGUAGGCGGCCAACUAAGUCAGACGUGAAAUCCCUCGGCUUAACCGGGGAACUGCGUCUGAUACUGGAUGGCUUGAGUUUGGGAGAGGGAUGCGGAAUUCCAGGUGUAGCGGUGAAAUGCGUAGAUAUCUGGAGGAACACCGGUGGCGAAGGCGGCAUCCUGGACCGGUAUUGACGCUGAUGCGCGAAAGCCAGGGGAGCAAACGGG